ACGCUCGACACCUACGGGAGGCAGCAGUGGGGAAUAUUGGGCAAUGGGCGAAAGCCUGACCCAGCAACGCCGCGUGAAGGAAGAAGGCUUUCGGGUUGUAAACUUCUUUUAUCAGGGACGAAGGAUGUGACGGUACCUGAUGAAUAAGCCACGGCUAACUACGUGCCAGCAGCCACGGUAAUCUGAGCGGGCUGGCAAGGC
rnacentral:rRNA from 1 species